rnacentral:rRNA from 1 species
UUGGCCUUUGGAGUUUGGUCCUGGGUUCAGGAGGAACGCUGGCGGCGUGCCUAACACAUGCAAGUCGAGCGAAUGAAAUUCCUUCGGGAACGGAUUUAGCGGCGGACGGGUGAGUAACACGUGGGCAACCUGCCUCAUAGAGGGGAAUAGCUUUCGAAAAGGGAGAUUAAUACCGCAUAAGAUUGUAGUACCGCAUGGUACAGCAAUUAAAGGAGCAAUCCGCUAUGAGAUGGGCCCGCGGCGCAUUAGCUAGUUGGUGAGGUAACGGCUCACCAAGGCGACGAUGCGUAGCCGACCUGAGAGGGUGAUCGGCCACAUUGGGACUGAGACACGGCCCAGACUCCUACGGGAGGCAGCAGUGGGGAAUAUUGCACAAUGGGGGAAACCCUGAUGCAGCAACGCCGCGUGAGUGAUGACGGCCUUCGGGUUGUAAAGCUCUGUCUUCAGGGACGAUAAUGACGGUACCUGAGGAGGAAGCCACGGCUAACUACGUGCCAGCAGCCGCGGUAAUACGUAGGUGGCAAGCGUUAUCCGGAAUUAUUGGGCGUAAAGGGUGCGUAGGCGGUUUCAUAAGCGUGGGGUGAAGGCCAUUGGCUUAACCAAUGUAAGCCCCGCGAACUGUGUAACUUGAGUACAGGAGAGGAAAGCGGAAUUCCUAGUGUAGCGGUGAAAUGCUUAGAUAUUAGGAGGAACACCAGUGGCGAAGGCGGCUUUCUGGACUGUCACUGACGCUGAUGCACGAAAGCGUGGGGAGCAAACAGGAUUAGAUACCCUGGUAGUCCACGCUGUAAACGAUGAUAACUCGCUGUCGGCGAUACACAGUCGGUGGCCAAGCGAAAGCAUUAAGUUAUCCACCUGGGGAGUACGACCGCAAGGUUGAAACUCAAAGGAAUUGACGGGGGCCCGCACAAGCGGAGGAACAUGUGGUUUAAUUCGAUGAUACGCGAGGAACCUUACCCGGGCUCGAACGGUGCAUGAAUAUACGAGAGAUUGUAUAGUCCUUCGGGACAUGUAUCGAGGUGCUGCAUGGUUGUCGUCAGCUCGUGCCGUGAGGUGUCGGCUUAAAUGCCAUAACGAGCGCAACCCUUGUCAUUAGUUGCCAUCAGGUCAAGCUGGGGACUUUAAUGAGACUGCCACCGUAAGGUGUGAGGAAGGGGGGGAUGACGUCAAAUCAGCACGGCCCUUAUGUCCAGGGCUACACACGUGCUACAAUGGCCGGUACAGAGGGCAGCCACCUGGUGACAGGGAGCAAAUCUCCAAAGCCGGUCUCAGUUCGGAUCGAAGUCUGCAACUCGACUUCGUGAAGUUGGAUUCGCUAGUAAUCGUAUAUCAGCAACGAUACGGUGAAUACGUUCCCGGGCCUUGCACACACCGCCCG